UGUAGUUGAAAGCAGGACUCUGCCAAGUUCUGAGUCCAGCUCUGAGCUGUUUGUCUUCCACCACCUGCUGCAGAACACGAGGUGAGGAAGUGGAGGCUCCCAAAUGUUGACUUGUCACAGGUGACAUGGUUUGUAAGUGGCAGAACUGGGGCGAGAAGCCAAGUGGUUGCCUCCUGUCCCUUCCUUCCAUUGUACCACAGCGCUGGCCUCUCCUCUCCUCACCUGACACUCCAUGGGUUCAAGUCAUUGCUACCGGAUGCCAAACUCUGCAGGUGCUGUGCUGGACACCGGGAAGCCAAGUGACUGGAUGAGAGACACUGUCCUAAGAGUACUUGCCAUCUAGUGCAUGACACAGACAUCCAGUGAAUAAUAGCAGCACAGUAUCAUGAAGGCUAUGGUAGGGACAAUCCAGGAUCCUACCAGAGCUUAUUCACAUGGGUGGUCAGAAAAGAACGGCUGCCCAUGGCAUUGGGGCAGAGAAAAAAUUGUACAACAAGCCAAAGAAUGCCUAUCCUUUCAUGAAGCAUUUUGGUGGGGCCAUUCUGUGACCUGUCUAUGCUUAAUGAUUCUAGGAAUGGAUUCAGUUACAGGCUGGACUCAGGGCUUCUUUGCAGUAAGUGACAGGCUACCACAUACAUACCACAUAUGCACACUGUGGUCUGAACAAGAACACUCGCUUAAAAGGAAAGUCAGGAGGAAAAGGAAAGGGUGACUUUUACUGCUUUGGCUGAAGGUACUGUAUUUGCCAGUAGAGAACUUGGGGAAAUCAAAUAUUUCAAUUACCCUAUAAUCAUGGAAGGUAAGACUGAUGGGUGAGCUUUUAGCUGUCUUCACGGUGUUUACACAUCUUUACAUCCCAUGGACAUCCCUUUGGAUCUAAAUGGAAGUCCUAAUUCCGAGGUCUUGAUUUAUUUUAGACAUGGGAAGUACUUCUUAACUGAACAGUCAGGGUUAAGUCAGGGAAGGGAACCCCUUGGAGUUAUGGGAUAAAGGACACACUUAUUAUAGGAAUUGGACAUUACACAACUUUGGGAGGAACUGGAGAGGUGAAGGCCCCGGAGGAAUGGGAGGAUCAGAGAAGGAGCCGCCAAGCAGUCCCUUGGACAAGCUAAGCACAUCCUGCUGCUGUGGAGGGGCUGAAAAGAGAAGCCUGUGGUCCCUCCUCCGUGGAAAUGCCAUCUGAGGGAGGGGCUGGGGCUGCUGUCGGUCCUGGAGUCAGCAGUCAGGAAGAGGACUGGAUGUGGAGUGCAGGACAGCAAGGACAAGCUGGAACCCGCUGGCCUCUCUGUGUCUGUCACCACAUCUAACCCUGAUGACUUUCUGAGAGUGAUGGCCACUGCUUCACAUUUUCCAAACCUGGUACAAGUUCUUCUUCUGGCCAAAUUUAACUCAGAACUGUACAGGGAAAGGGAUCUCGAAAAGAUAGUUCCAUCUUAGCCAAGUGAACAGAGCACAAACCAUCACAUUUGAAGAAAAGGCUGAAGGUAGAGAGAGAAUACUCUGCCUUAAUUAAGAAACAAAUACUUGGCUGGGUGCGACGGCUCAUGCCUGUAAUCCCAGCUCUUUGGGAGGCUGAGGCCGGCGGAUUGUUUGGGCUCAUAAGUU